AGGGGGGGGGGGCGAAGCUUAUGGGCUGCAGCUCCCCCCCCCCCCCCCCGAAAUUUUUUCGUGCUGUCAUGCACUGCCGACCAAAAUAACCCCUGGCACCGAAAAUCAUUCAGGAUCAUUCGAAAAGACAUUUCAGCGCGAACAUUGCGAACUCGGGCUGGAUUUCACGGCAGCGCCCAUGCACCAGGAGUCGCAUAACACAAGGAGCCCCAUCUGAGCACAAAGUUUCACGGGCGUUUUGAUGGCAAGUGGGCUCGUCACAGCAUCUCGUGGAGGCCGCGGAAUCUGGAGUGCAUGGAUUUCAAUUUCGAAACUUUAUGGGUAUGAAGUACUCAUUAACUUUUCACGCGAAAGGCGCACUGACAUUUUCAAAGUCGUGCUUUACAUUUUCAAUUCCAGAACUUUGUGCGUUUAAGAGGAAGCUUUAGCUCAGGGUCUCCUAUCUAUAUACAUGUAAAAGCAGAAUUCGUUUUUCUCUGCAACCGCUGCAUCAAAUUUGACGAGGUUUGUUGCGUUUAAAAGAAAAACUUAAAAUCUAGUGACUUGGUUUUGAAUUUUUGAGUUAGGUUGUCAAUUUUUUAUAAAAAAUUGGCAAAAAUCGAAAAAUUUCAAAAAACGAAACUAUGAAGUUUACAACUCUGUAACUCAACAACUAAAAAUGAUAAUACAAUUCUCUGAAUUGCAUAUAAUAGUACAUCUAAAGCGGACAAAAUUGGUAUGUUACACAUGAAUAUAAAAAAAUUAAUAAUACCGAAAUACAACUUUUGCAAAACUCUUGUAACCAAGGUAAAAAAUUCACGUAAGAUGUAAAAUGACAUAUUGAAUUUGUCCGCUUUGAAUGAUCUAAUGGAUGCCGUUUACAGAACCGCGAUAUCUGUUCUUGAUGCAGAGCUAUGACAUUGUAAACUUCAUGCUUCUAUUUUUUUCAAACGGUCAAAUAUUUGAAAAUUGUUUUAAGAAAAUUCAAGCCCUAAAUCGAAAUUCCGCUUCCAACAGUCACUAGAAUUUAACUUUCUUUUUCACAUGCAACAAAUUUCAUUAAAAUCGGUCCAGUGGUUAUCUCAAAAACGUUUUUGCGUUUUACAUGCAUUUGAACAGGCCGCAUUGGAGUUGGGCCCGAGCUAAAGCUUCCUCUUAAUGUUAUAAACAUUUGACACCGAAGGUGCAUUAACUUUUCUAAAGUUGUACAUAGGACCAUACAACGAGACAAGCCAAAUCAACACACUAUCAGACAAGUUGACAAAGCACGCAGCGAGGUCCAAUGAGACGAAGCGUUGUGGUGGUUCAUUUGUGCCGCCAUGUCACAGAAAAGAAUAUCAACAUUCUUUUGACCUGCGCCAACGCAUCCAUGUCAAGACACUAAAGCCAGCAAAGAGGUUUUUCAGUCUAUAUCCACCGUUGGCGACGGACGCGCCCUGCAACUCGGCUGCUCGAGAGCACACGCCCUCUGCGUCAGCGGCAAAAGUCCGGCUGCCGACCUUCGACUACGGCACCGGCGAAAGAACCAAAGAAGGCUGUUCGCUUAAAAAGAAGAUAAUACCCCAUGCUGUGCUGCCUAAGACCUCACAUGUGAGCUUGAGUGCAUAAGUGGGUGGCGUAUUAAAAGAAAAAUUUCCCCUGUA